AUCUUUAAGUUUUACAAGAAUAUUCUGACACGGAAAUCCAAACAUCAAAAGGGAUUUACAGAAAUGCAAAAGUAAACACAUGUAUUGCAGAGAAUCAAAUCCAAAAAAUUAUAACACAUGAGUCUUUUAGUAAUAAUAACGUACCUACAUCUUAUGUAAACGAAAAGUGUAAUAAGGAAAACAAUACACCAUUAGAAAUAUGUACAACUGGAAAAGAGAAGAAAAGGAGUGGAGAGACAUAUAAUGAUUCUUCAAAUAAUAACGUACCUGGCCAUCGAAUAUAAAUGUCGAAUAUACUUCUAGUAUACAACAAAGAUAUCCUCAACAAGGCGUGAAUAUGCAUAGAUACAAUACAAGUUACAGCACAAGUACAGAUAAACAGAUAUUUGAUGAUGCUCAUCUUUGUACAUGCUGCCCUAAACAUAAAAAUUAUGAUGAAAAAUUCCGGAGAGUGUUCAAAGAAUUAUUUUUGCUCAGAGAAGUAACAAAAGAAUGCUGCGAAGAUUUAAAAGUUACAUUUUUACAAAAAUAUAAUGCAGAUAAAACGAAUGAGAAUGAAUCUACAUUUUUAAGUACAUUCAAUUUUCCUUUGCGACGUAUAGAACAUUUGAACGAAGUGGAACAGUAUCUUGAACAACGAAUAAUUUUCAAUCCACUAUAAAAGAACUUUCAAAAAUGGGAGGAUCUACUUUAAAUGAUUUUGUAAAAUGAUGUUUAUCGCUUCUUUUUUCAAAUAGAUUAGCUGAACAAUAUUCCUGGUAUGGUGCUAAAAAAAAGCAAGUGUUUGGAAAACUAUUUCUCGCAAGUGUGUUGCAAGAAAGUGCUCUGCAUUGUAAAGCAGCGGAAAAUCGAAAAGAAGUCGAGGAAAGCAUUAAAACUUGGUUAAGACGUGCAAGAGAAAGGGCAGAAAAAGAAGAAAG